rnacentral:tRNA from 1 species
AUUUAAAUAAUUUAAAUAAAAUAUUGAUUUGUGGUAUCAAAAAUAUGAUUAAAUAUCAUUUUAAGUU